AUCUUGAAAACGGAAAAUAAAAACAGCAGACCUAUGAAGGUCGAAGGGGAAGAAAAGCUGUAUCGAUUGUUGAGAUCUGGCGACUUGUUUAAAUUUCAUCAGCCUCACUUCUAUGAACUCUCAGGACAAACUGCAACAGAGUCACAUCGAGUUGAGACUUCUCCAAGGGCCAUGGGGUUGACAUCUGUAUUCUCAGGCCUCACGUGUACCAGCUCUCUGCUCUCCUUUGCCUUGGGACGUUCCAUCCCUGGAAGUUUCCCUGCCCACAUCUUUGUAGAGAGUCCAUUCUCCAAGCUUCAGUGUGUCAUCUGUGAGGACCGUGACCCACCUGGUACAUCGCCUCAGGGCAUUCAUUUCAGGCUCCUUCUAAAUGGCCAAGUUUUCAAGAUUGUUUUGGCUCUAGCAAAACAAGUUGGAACAUUCACAUCAUCCAAGACAACACCAACAUUUUUGUAAUGGCCUGCAAGGCCUUCCGAGAUCUACCUCCUGCAACUCAGCUUCUCCUGUGCUCUCCUUCUGGACUCACUCUGCCUCAGCAACACUGGUCCCUGUUGCCCCACCAAUAUGCCAGCUGCACUGAUGAGGAAACUGAAACAGAAAAUCCAGAGUAAAUUCCACCAGGCCACACAGCAAGGUCUGAUAGAGCCAGGAGAGACUUUAUGAAAUCCAGACUCUCACACUAAUGCUCUAUCAGCUAGACCUCCAUGUGAGUCUCCCCAAUGUAGGUAGGAAGUGCUUUCCCUAAAAUGCUCAUAAAGCAAAUCAGAGCAAUGCUGCAUUCCAUGUGAUUUCUAAUUUGAAAUGCAAACAAUUGCCAAUUUGUUUGACUUGUAUUUAUAAUUAUUUCCUUGUGAAUUACUCAUCACUAAAUGCUUUAUAAAUAUUUUCUCUUUUUUUCCUCAAUGUCUAUGGAAUGAUCACAGCAUAGAAAAUGUUGGCUUUCAAGGAUUUAUUAAUAUCUCCUUUUGAAAUAACAUGUAUUUGUAAGACAGAAUAAAAUCACUUUAAAGAAACAAA
rnacentral:lncRNA from 1 species